GAAGGUAAACAGAAGAUGCAUUGGAGCGACGGUGGAAGGUCUACGGUGGUCGGUAGAGAGGGAUGCAGCGUAGAGAGCAGAUGCAUCGGUUCAAGAUUCUUAUUCGGUGAAUUGAAGUGACGUUACAACGCGGCAGAGAGGAGGCUUUUCAGCGGAGAGGAUGUUUAGAUUGUAAAACAAGCGGAGACACAACAGAGGCAAAGAGAUGUGAAGAUCUGGUGACAGGAGGAGAAGGCUUACGCAGCGGAGAUGUCAAAAAUCCUAUCUUCCAGGGAGAAUAAAAAAUUUGGAUUUUAGCUUGAGUGGAGGAUUUCCUGUGUCGGCAUAUGCUCAAAUUUACCGUGUGAGCAACUCUUCAAUUUCAUAGCGUUAGUUGUAAUACUUAGUGAUCGAAUCUAAUGGGACAUGAAUCACUCAAUAAAAUUGGGUUAUCAUCAGAAUAGUUCUAAUACAUAAAUUAAAACUGUUGUAAACGAUGGAAGAAAGC
rnacentral:lncRNA from 1 species